AACGCACAUUGCGCCCCCUGGUAUUCCGGGGGGCAUGCCUGUCCGAGCGUCAUUACAACCCUCAAGCUCAGCUUGGUGUUGGGCCCCGCCGCCCCGGCGGGCCCUAAAGUCAGUGGCGGUGCCGUCCGGCUCCGAGCGUAGUAAUUCUUCUCGCUCUGGAGGUCCGGUCGUGUGCUCGCCAGCAACCCCCAAUUUUUUUCAGGUUGACCUCGGAUCAGGUAGGGAUACCCGCUGAACUUAA
rnacentral:misc_RNA from 1 species